rnacentral:lncRNA from 1 species
UUUAAAUAUAAUUACUAGACGGAAAGCAGCACGCGCGGAAACCAUGCAGACGAAUGGGAUUAGGCUCCGCCUCUUUUGGAUCAUUUGAAGACAAAAUAAGCUACCGAGGCGGCUUUUUGAUUGGAUAUGAGCCUCAUGAAUAUGUAUUUUAUCGAUAGUAUCGUUUAAGAAACCGGAUAAUAUAUUUGACCUCAUUGCGUCACUUUAAUUAUGCAGAUUUAUGCACGACGCGACUACACUCGCACAAGCUGAGAAGAGUUAGUUCAUUGAGAAUGGAAUGAAACUGAUGAAGAUCUGGAAGGAGUUAACUGAUGAGUGGACAUUAAAACAUUUCUUAUAUUUGCAAGAUGAAGCAGAAAGUCCCAUGCAGGAUGAUGCUUCUCUACAGUGGACGAUGAAGGCAUGCUGGUUUACAAACUCAGGAGAGGAACAAAGAACAGAUAUUGACGGAUCAUAUCUAGAAAUGCGGGCCUUCUACACUUCAUACAAGCAAGUGUGCUAAUAUACAUGUAGGUACCCCAAAUAAACUAUUUUGGAACACAUAUCAUGCAGAAAGUUAUAGAUCUGACAAAUAUAUUUUUCAUUGUCCGUUGACUUGUAAAAGAAUA